GGCGUGGUGGCCAAGUGGGAAGGUGUUGGUCUUGUAAACCGAAGAUUGUGGGUUCAAUCCCACCCAUGCCU